rnacentral:rRNA from 1 species
UACGAAGGGGGCUAGCGUUGCUCGGAAUCACUGGGCGUAAAGCGCACGUAGGCGGAUCUUUAAGUCAGGGGUGAAAUCCUGGAGCUCAACUCCAGAACUGCCUUUGAUACUGGGGAUCUCGAGUCCGGAAGAGGUGAGUGGAACUCCGAGUAUAGAGGUGAAAUUCGUAGAUAUUCGGAAGAACACCAGUGGCGAAGGCGGCUCACUGGUCCGGUACUGACGCUGAGGUGCGAAAGCGUGGGGAGCAAACAGG